rnacentral:rRNA from 1 species
AUGGUAAACAGAGAUGCUAAUGAGAAUAACAGAGAUGCUAAGAGGCAGCCUUUUGGGGUUAAGGAUAUAAACAACAACAUGGCUUAUGAGUCCGAAGAGAGCCCGAGUGGCGUCUUUUGGUUCUUGAAGCCCUGCACUUUCCUGGUGGAGUAG